GGGCUCUCAAUCCAUUAACUCAGGAUUCUUUUUUUUUUUAAUUUGGGGUGUGGGAGUCAGGGAGAGGUGUAAUUUAUAGAAAUUUGGCCUGGGAAUCAUGAGUUUCUUCUUUCUAAUUCUGCAGAACCCACCUUAUCUGAAGGGAAGCACAUGACCCAAUGUCAGACUGCCUGGCUCAACCACAUACUGGUGAAGGCUUUGGCCACUGCUCUGGAGAUCUUACUCAGUUUUCCUGGCUUGGACUCCCCCAUAUAUACAGGAGGCAAUGGCAAAGUUGAUGGUUGUUUUUCUGAAAUAACCAGAAAGACCAACGGAACAUGAGAAAUGGAACAGGCAGAAGACUGAACCCUUUAGAUGAUAUAACACGUGGAAAUGCUAGCAAAGGUUUCAGUUAUGAAUACAGAAACCAUACCAAAUAGAAUAAAAAGCACAGCAUACUUCUGUAUCCCUAAAAUUGCUUGCAUUGUUCCUGUUUUAACAUGGAGUACAAAGUACAAGAAGGCAUCAAGUGAAGGAUAUAUCUUUCUAAUGUGAAAUUAAAAUCAAAGUAAACCUGUUAUUACUGAUCAUACCUGUCAGUCAGAUUGGAUUUUCUUUUUUAAUUUCUGGUUUGAGGCUGAUACAUGAAGAUAAAUGGCACUUAAAGUUUGUUCAGUGGUGUGGGUUCCUUAGAGUGA